UUUAAAAAUUGUUUUCUUUUCCUAGAUGCUUAUGGUGUUGUUUGGACUGUCUCGGCGAUUAAGAGAAUGCCAUGGGUUGCUACUGAAAAUGCAAUACAAGAUGAAUGUCUAUUGGUAGAGAUAAUGCUUAAGGAUUCAACGUAAGUAUUGUUAAUAAUAGUUUUGGUUUUGUUUGCAAAUGGUUUUAUAUAUGUAGCUUAUGUCAUACAUUGUUAGCAGAUUAUAAUUGGAACAUGUUUUAGUGGUGAGAUUUUCACAUGUUGUGCUGUGGGAGAAUAUUGUGAUCGUUUCAUGCAUAGCUGGCGUAACAAAGGAUACGACGAGGAUUUCAGCUACCAGUUAGUUAACGAGCCUGUUGUAUGUGUUCUUC
rnacentral:lncRNA from 1 species